GCAUAUCAAUAAGCGGAGGAAAAAGAAACUAACAAGGAUUCCCCUAGUAACUGCGAGUGAAGCGGGAAAAGCUCAAAUUUAAAAUCUGGCGGUCUUUGGCCGUUCGAGUUGUAAUCUAGAGAAGUGUUACCCGCGUCGGACCGUGUACAAGUCUCCUGGAAUGGAGCGUCAUAGAGGGUGAGAAUCCCGUCUUUGACACGGACUACCGAGGCUUUGUGGUGCGCUCUCAAAGAGUCGAGUUGUUUGGGAAUGCAGCUCAAAAUGGGUGGUAAAUUCCAUCUAAAGCUAAAUAUUGGCGAGAGACCGAUAGCGAACAAGUACCGUGAGGGAAAGAUGAAAAGAACUUUGGAAAGAGAGUUAAACAGUACGUGAAAUUGCUGAAAGGGAAACGCUUGAAGUCAGUCGCGUUGUCCGGGAAUCAGCCUUCCUUCUGGUUGGUGUACUUCCUGGUUGACGGGCCAGCAUCAGUUUUGACCGGUGGAAAAAGUUCGAGGGAAUGUGGCACCUCCGGGUGUGUUAUAGCCCUCGUUCGUAUACAUCGGUUGGGACUGAGGAACUCAGCACGCCGCAAGGCCGGGAUUCGUCCACGUUCGUGCUUAGGAUGCUGGCAUAAUGGCUUUAAUCGACCCGUCUUGAAACACGGACCAAGGAGUCUAACAUGCCUGCGAGUGUUUGGGUGGAAAACCCGAGCGCGUAAUGAAAGUGAAAGUUGAGAUCCCUGUCAUGGGGAGCAUCGACGCCCGGACCUGACGUUCUCUGACGGUUCUGCGGUAGAGCAUGUAUGUUGGGACCCGAAAGAUGGUGAACUAUGCCUGAAUAGGGUGAAGCCAGAGGAAACUCUGGUGGAGGCUCGUAGCGAUUCUGACGUGCAAAUCGAUCGUCAAAUUUGGGUAUAGGGGCGAAAGACUAAUCRACCAUCUAGUAGCUCGUUUCUGCCGAG
rnacentral:rRNA from 1 species